rnacentral:lncRNA from 1 species
AUAGUCAAGGCAGCUAACCUUCCCCACUGCCCAACUGUGACCCCAACUCACUUUAAUCCACUGAGAUUUACAGGAAUUUAUAAAAUCAGAACAACUUGCUUGACCUGCAGAUGUCUUACAGAACCUUAGCACAGCAAGUGAAAGGCCUACUUUGUGUCACUGAGGUUUACACACAGGUGUGACCCCCUAUUACUCACAGACUCCUGUAUCAAGACCCCAAUUGCACCUGCAUGGCUUAAUUACCCUAGCCAGCCUCACCUGGGCCAAUGAACUCUCUGCCAUUGGUCCAGGAGCUGCUUUUAGGUUCCAGGGUGGGCAAUUGCUUCUGUUUUGAGUUAUGUUGUAGAACCUGCUCCUACCACCAACCUGGCUCUGUUUGGGUGCCAUGAGACUGUGAUCUGGCUACAGAUACUAUGCUUUGGGUACCUUCAGCUCCCAGAUUGUCCUCUUUCAUGGAGCAGCUGUGCUCUUGCUUCCCUCUGGUAUUGGAGAUCAUGGGUGGAUGGAAUAAAGGAAGAGCACUAGAGAAAGCUGGAUGACUGCAAUGCUGUGUUUGGACCAGAUGAUCUUGGAGGUCUUUUUCCAAUCUUAACAGUUCUACGAAAGCAGUGCCUGAAAGCAUCACAAGGAAGUAAGAGGAACAACUGUAGUUAUGUAGCAGAGAUAAAAGGUUAUAUUCAUGGUGGGGAAAAUCAUAACCCUGAAUUCUUCUUUUUAAUUACGUGACCUUAGGAGG